rnacentral:rRNA from 1 species
GAUGAAUGCUGGCGGCGUGCCUAAUACAUGCAAGUCGAGCGAACAGACGAGGAGCUUGCUCCUCUGACGUUAGCGGCGGACGGGUGAGUAACACGUGGAUAACCUACCUAUAAGACUGGGAUAACUUCGGGAAACCGGAGCUAAUACCGGAUAAUAUAUUGAACCGCAUGGUUCAAUAGUGAAAGACGGUUUUGCUGUCACUUAUAGAUGGAUCCGCGCCGCAUUAGCUAGUUGGUAAGGUAACGGCUUACCAAGGCAACGAUGCAUAGCCGACCUGAGAGGGUGAUCGGCCACACUGGAACUGAGACACGGUCCAGACUCCUACGGGAGGCAGCAGUAGGGAAUCUUCCGCAAUGGGCGCAAGCCUGCCGGAGCCACGCCGCGUGAGUGAUGAAGGUCUUCGGAUCGUAAAACUCUUUUAUUAGGGAAGAACAAAUGUGUAAUUAACUAUGCACGUUUUGACGGUACCUAAUCAGAAAGCCCCGGCUAACUACGUG